UACGUAGGGCGCGAGCGUUGUCCGGAAUUAUUGGGCGUAAAGAGCUCGUAGGUGGCCUGUCGCGUCGGCUGUGAAAACUCGGGGCUCAACUCCGAGCUUGCAGUCGAUACGGGCAGGCUAGAGUUCGGCAGGGGAGACUGGAAUUCCUGGUGUAGCGGUGAAAUGCGCAGAUAUCAGGAGGAACACCGGUGGCGAAGGCGGGUCUCUGGGCCGAUACUGACACUGAGGAGCGAAAGCGUGGGGAGCGAACAGG
rnacentral:rRNA from 1 species